GUGGGGAAUAUUGGACAAUGGGCGAAAGCCUGAUCCAGCCAUGCCGCGUGUGUGAAGAAGGUCUUCGGAUUGUAAAGCACUUUAAGUUGGGAGGAAGGGCAGUAAGUUAAUACCUUGCUGUUUUGACGUUACCAACAGAAUAAGCACCGGCUAACUUCGUGCCAGCAGCCGCGGUAAUACGAAGGGUGCAAGCGUUAAUCGGAAUUACUGGGCGUAAAGCGCGCGUAGGUGGUGUUGUAAGUUGGAGGUGAAAUCCCCGGGCUCAACCUGGGAACUGCCUCCAAAACUGCAUGACUAGAGUACGGUAGAGGGUAGUGGAAUUUCCUGUGUAGCGGUGAAAUGCGUAGAUAUAGGAAGGAACACCAGUGGCGAAGGCGACUACCUGGACUGAUACUGACACUGAGGUGCGAAAGCGUGGGGAGCAAACAGGAUUAGAAACCCCUGUAGUCC
rnacentral:rRNA from 1 species